UACGGAGGGUCCAAGCGUUAUCCGGAUUCAUUGGGUUUAAAGGGUGCGCAGGCGGGCUUGUAAGUCAGUGGUGAAAUCUUGCCGCUUAACGGUAAAAUUGCCAUUGAUACUGCGAGUCUUGAAUAUGGUUGAGGUAGGCGGAAUGUGUCGUGUAGCGGUGAAAUGCAUAGAUAUGACACAGAACGCCAAUUGCGAAGGCAGCUUACUAAGCCAUUAUUGACGCUGAGGCACGAAAGCGUGGGGAGCGAAC
rnacentral:rRNA from 1 species